AGGAAACACAUCAGGAGGAGAUAGGAAAUGAGGAGAGGAAGCAACAGAAGAGUAGAGGAAAUGUCACAAGAGAACUAAACAUUGGAGAAAGGAGGAAAUGAGUGGACAGACAGAAGGAAACAUGGGAGGAAAAAAGAAACCACAGGAUGAGUGGAGAGAUCACCCCAGAUUUGACUGAGUUGUAACUCCAGAAUGAGAAUGGAUUCAGGCUCAAAUUGCCAGUAAGGCCGCGAAUGGUGUCUUCUUCUUCUUCAGCUGACAGUCUACAGAACAAAGGAGAGAAGCGUGCAAAUAGCAGAAGAUGAGUGACACUCGCAAACGUAUUUUAAUAACAGACAACACAAAGGCAUAAAGUAGAAUUUGUAAAAUAAAGCAUCAUAUCAUGAGGGGUCUACUAACGUUCUCCUUACAGUUGUAUUCAAACUGUACAUAGUUUUAGAUGUUUGUAUUUUAAUGACUUUAAUGUAAAAUGUGUAUUUGGGAAUUUCUAAGGUUUAGUAUAAUAACAUUUAAUAAUUUAAGUGAUAUAGGUGCACACACAUACGAGUCCUAGGUAAAAACACUGCAACAUUUGGCUCAGUUAUAAAAGCUAGAGGUAGAACUAAAUGAAGUCCCUUUGGGAGCCAGAAUUCCCAUCACUAUUGUGCUUCUUGUUCUGUGGUGUUUUUUUCCAUUCCCUACUGUCACUCCAAAGGGUCCCCCUUUUUCUUUCAUGAUUAUUGAACGAACUUGUGUACAACCAGCAUGGCUCAUUACAUCUUAUAAGGAUUAGGUGCUUAUACAAAAUACAAAUAAGUGAAUAAAGUAAAUAAAAGUAAAGUACAAUAUUACAGUAUAAAGAACUAGGGCUUGUUUUUAGAAAUUAUAUUCUUCAGUUAUGUUAAAGUUUAACUGAAUUUUUGUUUUCAUAACCUCGAGGGCUUAAACAAGAAUCUCAGUGUGAAAUACACAGAAACGAGGUCUUGUUGUUGUGUACUUUGACUUGUGUGUGUAACAUUUUCUAAGAAUAAUGAUGUUGAUUAGAAAAUGAACUGUAGAGUUGUCCAUAUUAUGUCAUUCUGAGUAAAGUCUCUGAGGUGAUGAAUCUUUGCUGUCUCUCCAAAGGGGAUUAUUUCCACCUGUGCUCCAGGUGUGAUCUCUCAUUGGUCCAUUUGAAUCUGAUGGAGACAAACAGAGGAGAGCUCCAGCAACAUUUCAGUGACUUGUCCUUUUUUUGCUGCUGUGUUGUUUAAUUCACCUUCAUCAGACUGAGAGGAACGUAAUCGGGAAACAACCUGUAACCGCAUGCAGAUCAGUGAUCUUCAAAGUCUGGUCCGGGGAUCCUGCUGAGGUCCUGGAGGAGUCAAGUGGGUUCACAGAAAAUGUCUGCACAAGCAGCAGAGCCCACGGCUGCCGGAGAGGACUCUACUGAUGUAGAGUUAACAGUUACGCCCCUGUGCACUCAGUGAGAUCUCAGC